rnacentral:rRNA from 1 species
CACGUAGGGGACGAGCGUUGUUCGGAUUUACUGGGCGUAAAGGGCGCGUAGGCGGCCACCGCAAGUCGGUUGUGAAAUCUCUGGGCUUAACCCAGAAAGGUCAACCGAUACUGCGGGGCUAGAGUGCAGAAGGGGCAACUGGAAUUCUCGGUGUAGCGGUGAAAUGCGUAGAUAUCGAGAGGAACACCUGCGGCGAAGGCGGGUUGCUGGGCUGACACUGACGCUGAAGCGCGAAAGCUAGGGGAGCGAACGGG